GCCGAAGUGGUGAAAUUGGUAGACACGCACGUUUCAGAGGCGUGUGCGCUUGCGCGCGUGGGGGUUCGAGUCCCCCUUUCGGCAC
rnacentral:tRNA from 1 species